AGAAAAUAGAUACCCAGGUAGUCCUGGCCAUAAACGAUGAACACUAGGUGUCGGAGGCUUCGACCCCUUCGGCGCCGCCGCUAAACGCAUUAAGUGUUCCGCCUGGGGAGUACGGCCGCAAGGUUAAAACUCAAAGGAAUUGACGGGGGCCCGCACAAGCAGUGGAGCAUGUGGUUUAAUUCGAUGCUACGCGAAGAACCUUACCAGGGUUUGACAUCCCAGUGUAACCCCCUAGAAAUAGGGGGCCCCGUUCGGGCACUGGUGACAGGUGGUGCAUGGUUGUCGUCAGCUCGUGCCGUGAGGUGUUGGAUUAAGUUCCGCAACGAGCGCAACCCUCGUUGCUAGUUGCCAUCAUUAAGUUGGGCACUCUAGCGAGACUGCCAGCGUCAAGCUGGAGGAAGGUGGGGAUGACGUCAAAUCAUCAUGCCCCUUACAUCCUGGGGCUACACACGUGCUACAAUGGGCGGUACAGCAGGUUUGCUACCUCGCGAGAGGAUGCGAAUCCCCGAAAGCCGCUCUCAGUUCGGAUUGUAGGCUGC
rnacentral:rRNA from 1 species